rnacentral:rRNA from 1 species
CCUACGGGAGGCAGCAGUGAGGAAUAUUGGUCAAUGGACGGAAAUCUGAACCAGCCAUGCCGCGUGCAGGAAGACGGCUCUAUGAGGUGUAAACUGCUUUUGUACAAGGGUAAACCUGAAUACGUGUAUUCAGCUGAAAGUACUGUACGAAUAAGGAUCGGCUAACUCCGUGCCAGCAGCCGCGGUAAUACGGAGGAUCCAAGCGGUCUCCGGAUUUCUUGGGUUUAAAGGGUGCGUAGGCGGAUUGAUAAGUUAGAGGUGAAAUGUCCGCGCUUAACUCGGGAACUGCCUCUAAUACUGUUGAUCUAGCGCGUAGAUGCGUUAGGCGGCAUGUCUUGUGUAGCGGUGCAAUGCUU